AUUGAACGCUGGCGGCAUGCUUUACACAUGCAAGUCGAACGGUAACAGGUUAAGCUGACGAGUGGCGAACGGGUGAGUAAUGCAUCGGAACGUGCCCGAUCGUGGGGGAUAACGCAGCGAAAGCUGCGCUAAUACCGCAUACGAUCUGAGGAUGAAAGCGGGGGACCGUAAGGCCUCGCGCGAUCGGAGCGGCCGAUGUCAGAUUAGGUAGUUGGUGGGGUAAAGGCUCACCAAGCCGACGAUCUGUAGCUGGUCUGAGAGGACGACCAGCCACACUGGGACUGAGACACGGCCCAGACUCCUACGGGAGGCAGCAGUGGGGAAUUUUGGACAAUGGGCGCAAGCCUGAUCCAGCAAUGCCGCGUGCAGGAAGAAGGCCUUCGGGUUGUAAACUGCUUUUGUACGGAGCGAAAAGGCUCUCUCUAAUACAGGGGGCUCAUGACGGUACCGUAAGAAUAAGCACCGGCUAACUACGUGCCAGCCGCCGCGGUAAUAC
rnacentral:rRNA from 1 species